rnacentral:rRNA from 1 species
CCUACGGGAGGCAGCAGUGGGGAAUAUUGCGCAAUGGGCGAAAGCCUGACGCAGCGACGCCGCGUGAGGGAAGAAGUACUUCGGUAUGUAAAGCCCUGUCAGCAGGGAAGAAAAUGACGGUACCUGACCAAGAAGCCCCGGCUAACUCCGUUCCAGCAGCCGCGGUAAUACGUAGGGGGCAAGUGUUAUCCGGAUUUACUGGGUGUAAAGGGAGCGUAGACGGCAAGGCAAGUCUGGAGUGAAAGCCCGUGGCUCAACCACGGGACUGCUUUGGAAACUGUGUUGCUGGAGUGCAGGAGGGGUAAGCGGAAUUCCUAGUGUAGCGGUGAAAUGCGUAGAUAUUAGGAGGAACACCAGUGGCGAAGGCGGCCUGCUGGACGAUGACUGACGUUGAGGCUCGAAAGCGUGGGGAGCAAACAGGAUUAGAUACCCUAGUAGUC